rnacentral:misc_RNA from 1 species
UUUUUGUCUUAAAAAAAAAAAAGGGUUUUGCUUGGCUUGAAAGAGGCGACGCCUCUAGCCUGCCUGGUGCCUCGCCUUGCCAGCCUGAGACGUCGACUCUAGUGGUGCCAAGAGGGGUGACCCAGUCGAGGCGGCAGAGGGGUGCCUCCCACUCCUUUAAUAACACUGCCUGGAUUCAAAAUUCAACAUGACAUCUGACCAAGUUAGGGCACAGUUUCAGUUUCAAUUCAAUUUUCUGGUGUUGCCAUUGCAUUUAGUUUCAAGUUUCAAGUGUCAACAGGUGGUCCCAGUUGCCACUUAAGGGGUAGUGUUGGAAUAUUACUUGUAGAAAGAAGUCCCACAUCAGUAGCGUACAAGAAAAUCAAAGGGCAUAUAAGAGUUGGCAAACCAAACCAAAAUGGC